AUUGAACGCUGGCGGCAUGCCUUACACAUGCAAGUCGAACGGCAGCGCGGGGCAACCUGGCGGCGAGUGGCGAACGGGUGAGUAAUAUAUCGGAACGUGCCCUGGAGUGGGGAUAACGUAGCGAAGUUACGCUAAUACCGCAUACGAUCUGAGGAUGAAAGCAGGGGACCUUCGGGCCUUGUGCUCCUGGAGCGGCCGAUAUCUGAUUAGCUAGUUGGUGGGGUAAAAGCCUACCAAGGCGACGAUCAGUAGCUGGUCUGAGAGGACGACCAGCCACACUGGAACUGAGACACGGUCCAGACUCCUACGGGAGGCAGCAGUGGGGAAUUUUGGACAAUGGGGGGCAACCCUGAUCCAGCAAUGCCGCGUGUGUGAAGAAGGCC
rnacentral:rRNA from 1 species